rnacentral:rRNA from 2 species
UGGGGAAUAUUGCACAAUGGGCGCAAGCCUGAUGCAGCAACGCCGCGUGAGGGACGACGGCCUUCGGGUUGUAAACCUCUUUUAGUAGGGAAGAAGCGAAAGUGACGGUACCUGCAGAAAAAGCACCGGCUAACUACGUGCCAGCAGCCGCGGUAAUACGUAGGGUGCAAGCGUUAUCCGGAAUUAUUGGGCGUAAAGAGCUCGUAGGCGGUUUGUCGCGUCUGCUGUGAAAACUGGAGGCUCAACCUCCAGCCUGCAGUGGGUACGGGCAAACUAGAGUGCGGUAGGGGAGAUUGGAAUUCCUGGUGUAGCGGUGGAAUGCGCAGAUAUCAGGAGGAACACCGAUGGCGAAGGCAGAUCUCUGGGCCGUAACUGACGCUGAGGAGCGAAAGCAUGGGGAGCGAACA